UUGGUCAUAUAAGUUAUAUGGGCCGAAAGAAACCCCAAUAGUAGAGCCAGAAAUUUAAAUGAUGUUGAAAACUUUUUUUUUUUUUUUGGAGUGCAUUAUACAAUCAGACACGUUUUCAUCUUUUUUACACAAAGAGACACAAUGAGCUGGAAAAGCACUUUUUCCUGAAACCAAGUCACAUCUAGAACGAAAAUGCCCUCUUCCAUUUUGAGAUAGUGUUUAGUUCGGAGAUAUUUUGGUUUCUAGUUAGUACUUAAUUUAUUUACGAGAGUUACCAAAAAAAUAUGAAAAUUCUAUUAUUAGUAUAAACUUUUUUAUCUCAACAUAUUUUCUACCUUAUUUUUGUUUGCUAAUAUGUAAAUACAUAUAUAACAUAUGUAUAAAAAUGCAUAUGCUUUUUUCUUUUCAUUUUGAUAUCCAUAUAGGUAUAAUUAAAUUUUUAAAAUUAUAAUUUACCGAAAUUGUAUUUCGUCAACAUGGAUACAGAAAAAAAAAAUUGUGUGGACAUUGAAACUUGUGAAUACAAAAAAUUGUGGAUAGAGAUUAUACAUUAGAUAUGAACAUGGACACUAAAAUGUAAGGAGAUCAUGAGUGUACACAUGAUGAAAAUGUCAAACAUUAUAACUAACAAGAUUUGCGAGGUUUCACAUAAUUUACUCCAUAAAAAAACUGUAUAAAACAAUUUAAAGAGCUUUGCGAUGGUGCACAAUAGACUAACAACUAUAAAAUCAUAAGCUUUGUUGCACAACUCCAAAAACAUAAGCUUUCAAACAUAAGCUGAUAUAAUGUUUAGACACACUACAUAAGCUAACCAGAAGCCUAAGAAGAAGUAAAAAAUACCUUCUCCCCUGAACUUAUUGGGAACCAUUCGUGUAGAUUCAUAGAUCAUGGACCUAUGUAAACUGAACUCAUUAGCAUCUUAUUUCUUCCACGGCAUCAACUUAUCUUUACUCUUUCUAGCUCCAUUAAAAUCUUCCAUCCUUUUACAUGACAAAACACACACACACACAAAAAGUUCACAAGCUUCGUUAGAAUCAAAUUCUAUUGGUGUUGAAUUGAAUCGAGCACGAUGCUCUUUUGAGCUAUUUAUGUCACUAUGCUCUUUUGAACUCUUUAUAUUCACUUACUGGUGAUUUUUUAAAUUUUUUUAGCUUUUUUUUAAACUCGUUAUUUGAACUUUAUUUUUUAUGGUUUGAAACUAAACAGUGUUAAAAAAUACAUUUUUGGCAGAAAAUUCUAAAAUAUAAAUCUAUAAAACAGUAUAAUACCGUUUUUUCUUAAACACCAAAAUUAUAUUAACGUUAACGCCGUUGGCUUAAACAUAAAACCAGUUUAUAAAAUAUAUUUUUUGGUCACUGUUUUUAUUUAAAAGAUUAUUUUAGUAAACACAUUCUAUGAUAUAAUAUAGAAUGUAUGAAUACUUUAUGCAGUCUCAAAUCAGACAUGGAAUUUUAAUUUCAAUCACAAACCAAAGUUUUGUCAAAUGAAAAUUCAAUGGAUCACACAAGUCGAAAGCAAUUCAUACAUAUACCAAGUGUAGGCAAAGCUUAGAAGUCACGUAAUCUGAGUAACGGUUAGAGCAUCUCCAACCCCACUCCAUAUUUUACUCCAAAAUUGAGAAAAUGGAGUGGGAAAUGGAGUGAUGAACAAAAAAUAAAAGUGUUACUCUAUAAAUGGAGUAAUCCUUCUAUUUUUUGUUCAUUACUCCAUUUCUCACUCCAUUUUCUCAAUUUUAGAGUAAAAUAUGGAGUGGGGUUGGAGAUGCCCUUAAAACGAAACUAAUGUCAAAUGAUGUGGUUUCAGACCCAAAAGAUUAAUAGUUUCACUUUAGAAUCUCCUGGUAUUUAACAAAACAAAUAAAAAGCAAUUAAUAGAGACGCAUUUCGAAGGGUCUUGAGCUUAGCAAGUCCCUAACGGCGAUGUAAUAAGAAAUGUUACUGUUGACAAAAAAUGAAGAAAUGUUACUAGGGUCGUCCAUAUAUUCCCUCGAAUCUUCAGCAUAAACAAGUUGCAUGAGUAUUGAGUAAUAUACUUUUUUUCUAAAUUGACCAAAAGAGUAGUUUCUGAUUAAAUAAUUUUGACGAUCAAAGUCGUCCUGUCCCACUUUCUAUAUUGGUAUAAGAGAUUCUUUGACUUAGACAAUCUGAACGUUGAAGAAUCGGUAAUAGCAUUAGCAUGCAUGGCUACUACUUCUUCAAUUUUGAAAAGUUACUUUUUUUCCCCUUGUUUCUGAAAAUAAUCAAGAAGUAAUAACAAUAUUAAAAGCCCAUCAGAGAAAAGAAUAGAGAAAGAGACAGAAGCUUGACAAUGUAUUGUCACAUCCCAUAGUUUGUGAUGAUUACCCCUAUUUAUACAUUUGCAGCUUUUUUGUUUGUUCUCCUCUUACAUGUAAAACGCCAUUAAACACAGUACAAACUGAAUUACAACAGUUACUCACCCGUCUCUCACAUUUGACUUUAUUUAUAUCAUCUUUGUAAUGUGAGAACUAUAUGAUAUUUGUUUCGUGUGAAAAGAUAACAUCAUCUUUUUUUUUGAACAACAGGAUAACAUCAUCUUACUUGGGCAGAAAAAUACUAUAAGAGCUUCGACCAUUGUCCAUAUCUUACUUUUUUUUCCUCAACAAAGAUAUUAUUAUUCGAUUGAGUGAAUACAAAAUUGAUACAGUUAAGCUGGCUUCCUAUAUCGACAUCGUUUUUUUUUUUUGAACAUUCUAUAUCGACAUCCAAAACUAAAAUUGGCUGUUAAAUAGAUUAAAUUCCAGAAACGAAGACAGCGGUUAGCCGGAAUUAAAUCCUGGAAAUAAAACGAAAUACUACCCUGAACUAAACCAGUGUACAUCUUACCAAGUGGAGUAUUUCCUAUAACUUUUAUAUGAUCUUUUGUAACCAAAUUUAUUACAUUAUAAUGUUGUAAUCAACUAUUUAUUGAAUGUUUAAAAUCGUCUACAACUAACUAUGAAUCAGUAUUUCAUCCACUAAAUAAUAGAUGUGUAUUCAUCUACUUACGCCUUUCCGUUUGAAUUCAGUUCUGCAGUAUAAAACACUAAUUUAUUUGAAGAUAUACAGAUUUUUAAAAUAUGAUAUAAAUACAAAAAUAUUAUUAGAAUAGAACAAAAACAGGAUAAUAUGUUUGCUGCUUUUAUUGAUUAUAUUUACACGACCGAAGGUAGAGAAGGACAAAAUGAAAACACAAUGAAUGUCCUGUCUAGCUUUAUAUAAAUCAGAAGUUUUGAUUUUGUGCUUAGCGGUUUAAAUUUCAAUGUUUUCCUUUGUGCUGUCUUCACUUACUCUUCUGAGAACGGGAAACCCUAAUUUUCUUAAAUAGCACGUAACACGAGAACAGAUGAAAUUUCAAAAGGUGAGAUAUCUAAAGUUAUUCCACCCAAAACAAAUUUCGUAAGUCAGACGGUAAAAGAAAUGCUGACAGAAAUCAACAGUCUCAGCUAAAAGGAAAAUCUUCAAAGAGAGGCCAUAUCUUGAUAAGAAAAACGAGCCUACUUUUAAAAAAUAUUUUCUUUUUCUUCAAAAUAUCACCGUGAAACCUCUUUCUUAAAAUACUAAUCCCUUAAACUUAAAGUUGAAUAUGUUGUUCCAUCUUUUUGUAGGGGUCGUGUUAAACGAGUAGCAUAACUAUAGUCUGUUGCUUUUAACAACCACAGCCUUUAUGGUUUUAAAGUGCUUCUCAACUCGAAAUUCGUUUGACGUGUAAUUUCAGUUAUCAUUUGUAUAAGGACUUCUUUUUUUUCUUUGAAACUAUGGACUUUUUUAUUUUGUUGUGAUUUUUAUUUAUUUAUAUUGUUAGACUCUUUAUGCUCCAUACUUACAAGUUACAUCUAUAACUGGAAUUUACAUACCGAAACUAUAUGUUGCUCAAAAACAAAACAUACCGAAACUUUAUUAACAAAUUGUUGCUGACAAAAAAAUUUGUUUAUAGAAUUUAUUAGUUUUUAUUACGUCUCUCGCUUCCAGUGUUUUUCAGUUAAAAGCCUAGCUUCUAUUAGCUCUAUAUAUACUUCUUUUUUUGGAAUAAAAUAAGAGGUCUACUCCUUUCCGUUAGUUUUAUCCUCUUGUUUCCCUAUAUAAACGCAAGUUCACCUGCCCUCUCACAUCAUCACUUCAGAGCAAAAGCAUCAUAUCAUUCCUCUUCUUCUUUUAUAUCAUGAGAUGAUCAUCAUUAUCAUAAUUAGCAUGGUAUUUAUGAUCAUAACCAUGAUCAUUUCUCUCUGUCAAGGAUUUUUUGUUUCUCCAUAUACUUUGGAACGCAGAAGCAUCUCACGGAGAAGAAGAUUUCUUGGAUAUUAGUAUUCUACUGGCAUUAUCCUUGCUGAGCUAUUUUUUUCAAAAAAAAAAACAAAAUAAUUUUGUUUUAUUUUUACUAAAUCAUCUACAAUGUUUUUUUAGAAUUUUUUUUCUUGACCUUGCAAGGCUUAUUAGUUUUGUAAUGCUCUUUUGUCUUCUCUGAUCUUUUGUUUCUUUCUGUAUUCUCAUUUGUGUUGUUCUCUCUUAUCUAUUCCUCCUGAGCUUUAUGUAAAUUUGCUAUAAUCCCAUCAU